rnacentral:lncRNA from 1 species
AAUACUCCAAAUCGGAGUGGGUCAAGAUGAUAAGUUGACAAAGAAAAGGUUUUUUUUUUUUUUUUUGUUCAAAAGGGUUAACUAUGGAUAUUAAAUAAAAGGGAUGGCUUGAAAGGCUCAAACGGAUCAAAGAUGGCCUCUCCAUCGUCUUUUAGGGCUCUAAAUAAUUUUCCAUAUCUACUAGUUAGAUGGGCCUCCAAAUGUAGCAACACACUCUUUUUUUUCUUUUUUUUUUCUUUUUUUUUACCAUUUUUUUUAAAGGGUUAACUCAAAAGAAAUGUAGAGAUCGUGUAUAAAAUAAUAAACUGCUAAGCUGUAUAAAGAGUGGGCAAAAGGGUUAUUCUCCAAGAAAAAUAAUAGGCUCAAAAACUCACUUGGUACUUAUUAUGACAUGUUCAUUCCUUCAAGCAACUCACAUUUGUCUCCGACAUCAACAUGUAAA